UCCAAUUUAACAACUUUGAUAACCUUUCCAAAGGAAGCUACGACAUAAUAAUAAUAAUAAUCUCCCUACUUCUGUUAUGCAUACCGCCAAUCAGCCGGCCGGUAUGGCAAAUUAGCUUUAUGCAUAUGUGCCAAUUAUUCCAUCUUUCCGGACAGGUCCAAGAAUGCAACCCCACUCUGGAAUUAUGCAUUACUUAUAGCCCCUCACCGUACAGCUUAUGCAAAUCAGGCUCAAGUUUUUUCCCCAUCUCUUGCAAUCCACCAAAUCGUCCUGAGCUGGUUUGUCUUGGAGAAUUUAUUACUUUACAAAAUCUCCCAAUCUACACCACCUUACAACCUCACAUCACAAUCAGCAAAAACCCUUUUCUUCGUAAGUGUGUUAUUUUUCUUUUUGCACGUUUUUCGAGUCUUUUCUUUUUUUUCUUUUUACAAGAAGAUGAAAGGUCCUGAGGUGGGGGGUCACAGAGAAGUGGAAUGGGGAACUAUUAGCAGUUAGAGAAAGUACGUAGCUUCCUGGAACCAGCAGAUUUCUGUCUAUCAUGAUUUCGUCA